GCUUUCUGUACAUGGACACUGAAUUUCCAAAAGUAUUACAUAUAAUAAAAGAGCCCUCCUCACAUGUUAUCACGCAUUCAUUCAUCAAACACCAAGCAUGUUGAAAGUGACAGCUCCUGGAGUAGGCACUAAGGAUGUGACAUUGAAUUGGAUAUGACGGCUACUCCUGAGAAGCUCAUGGCUAUUGGAGAAGAUACGUAUGCAAAUGCUGAGUGACCACUCCCAGUGGAAGCAAGACAAGGGGUGCUUCUUGACUGGGAAGGAGUGGAAGAGGUCCUAGGUGCAGAAGGGUAUGGAAGAUAAGGUCAAAGGAUGUGCUGGUGGGAAUGGGAGACAACUGAGAAGGUGAGACAAGCUGGAGGAAAUGUCAGGAGCUGCUGAGAGAAGCUCAGCCUGACCAGAGAUGAGAAUUGCCAUCUUGAAUCGUCAGGAAGUGAAGGAAAGCCCAGGUGAAUGCCACCCAAUCAAAAAGAAAAAACAAAUGCAGAUGGUAAGGUAGAGAAGGCUCUGAAGCCCAGGUAAUGAGAGCCAUGUUACCCUGGACAGAAGCAUCCAACACCACACAUCUCCAAGGAUGUUGGAGAUCCAGCAUCUGGAUCCAGCUAACUUCUGCAUCCUCUUCUGUACUCACAAGAGUUAACAUGGACGUCCAUGCAUCUGCUGGACAACACCCCCUAGAACGAGUGUCUUUGUAUGUUUUCACACACAUAAUGAUGUUAUAUCUGCUGCCAUCCUACUGAGUAAGGG
rnacentral:lncRNA from 1 species